rnacentral:rRNA from 1 species
CCUGGUAGCGGGGGGUAACUAAUUGGAAACGAUAGCUAAUACCGCAUAAUAUUUGAUUAUUUGCAUGAUAAUUGAUUGAAAGAUGCUAUUGCAUCACUACCAGAUGGACCUGCGUUGUAUUAGCUAGUAGGUGAGGUAACGGCUCACCUAGGCGACGAUACAUAGCCGACCUGAGAGGGUGAUCGGCCACACUGGGACUGAGACACGGCCCAG